UGGGGAAUUUUGGACAAUGGACGCAAGUCUGAUCCAGCCAUGCCGCGUGCGGGAAGAAGGCCUUCGGGUUGUAAACCGCUUUUGUCAGGGAAGAAACGAGUUUCUCUAAUACAGAGACUUAAUGACGGUACCUGAAGAAUAAGCACCGGCUAACUACGUGCCAGCAGCCGCGGUAAUACGUAGGGUGCAAGCGUUAAUCGGAAUUACUGGGCGUAAAGCGCACGCAGGCGGUUUGUUAAGUCAGAUGUGAAAUCCCCGGGUUCAACCUGGGACCUGCAUUUGUGACUGCAUAGCUAGAGUACGGCAGAGGGGGAUGGAAUUCCGCGUGUAGCAGUGAAAUGCGUAGAUAUGCGGAGGAACACCGAUGGCGAAGGCAAUCCCCUGGGCCUGUACUGACGCUCAUGCACGAAAGCGUGGGGAGCAAACA
rnacentral:rRNA from 1 species